UACGAAGGGUGCAAGCGUUGUUCGGAUUUAUUGGGCGUAAAGCGUGCGCAGGCGGAUUGGCAAGUCAUGUGUGAAAUCUCGGGGCUUAACCUCGAAAUUGCGCCUGAAACUACCAGUCUUGAAUACUGGAGAGGGAAGGGGAAUUUCUCAUGUAGGGGUAAAAUCCGUAGGUAUGAGAAGGAACACCAGAGGCGAAGGCGCCUUCCUGGACAGUGAUUGACGCUGAGGCACGAAAGCGUGGGGAGCAAACAGG
rnacentral:rRNA from 1 species